AGGGGUCAUGGGCCCGGGUUCGAACCCGGCCAGGCCCACCGAGUGGCACGCGGAGGAGGUCCUGAGCUGGGGC
rnacentral:tRNA from 16 species